rnacentral:rRNA from 1 species
UACGUAGGGUGCAAGCGUUGUCCGGAAUUAUUGGGCGUAAAGAGCUCGUAGGCGGUUUGUUGCGUCGGCUGUGAAAACCCGGGGCUCAACCCCGGGCCUGCAGCCGAUACGGGCAGACUAGAGUUCGGCAGGGGAGACUGGAAUUCCUGUGUAGCGGUGAAAUGCGCAGAUAUCAGGAGGAACACCGGUGGCGAAGGCGGGUCUCUGGGCCGAUACUGACGCUGAGGAGCGAAAGCGUGGGGAGCGAACAGG